AACGCACCUUGCACCCUUUGGUAUUCCGAAGGGUACACCCGUUUGAGUGUCAUUGUAAUCUCACUUCAACGACUUUAUUGUUGUUUGAAUGUGGACUUGGAUGUCUGCCAUGUAACAAUGGCUCGUCUUAAAUGCCUGAGUGUACCCCGCUUUGCGGCGUAUUCGGUGUGAUAAACAUUUCACCGGAGUUUGGUCUUUAUUGACCGCGCUUUUAGCAAUUGGUGGGCUCUAUGCUUUCUAACCGUCUGCCUCUGUGGACAAUCUCUUGACAAUUUGACCUCAAAUCGGGUGGGACUACCCGCUGAACUUAA
rnacentral:misc_RNA from 1 species